rnacentral:rRNA from 1 species
CAGCAGCCGCGGUAAUACGAAGGGGGCUAGCGUUGUUCGGAUUUACUGGGCGUAAAGCGCACGUAGGCGGACUUUUAAGUCAGGGGUGAAAUCCCGGGGCUCAACCCCGGAACUGCCUUUGAUACUGGAAGUCUUGAGUAUGGUAGAGGUGAGUGGAAUUCCGAGUGUAGAGGUGAAAUUCGUAGAUAUUGGGAAGAACACCGGUGGCGAAGGCGGCGACCUGGUCCUUUACUGACGCUGAGGCGCGAAGGCGUGGGGAGCAAACAGGAUUAGAUACCCGCGUAGUCCCUGUCUCUUAUAC